UCCAAAAUGCCGAAGGGGAUCAUGAUUUUUCUGACAGAGGAAGGAAUCUGUAAUAACACUACAAUAGUACAGGCCAGUAAACUUUAGCAGAUCUUGUUUUUUUUGCUGGGGAGGCCACUGCUGAGCAAAGAUGGGAUGCAAUGUAUCACUUGUCUCUCUGUGUGCAUGGGGUUGAAGUGCUGAACGGUAAAAUUCUUGCUAAACCCUGCAAAACUGCAUCUGACAUUCCUUGAGAUAGGACAGAGGCUAACUCAGUCGCUGAGUAAGCAUAACUGGUGGGCCUUAAAAUAUCUGUAGACUAUAAGAGAAUUGCUGAACUAACAAGCUGCUGAGCCAGCAUAAUGAAUAGAACAUAGCAAAAAUAAUGCAAUAGCUUUGUGGUUAAGACAGCUGUAAACGAAAGAAAAGAGAAGCUGUCUAUCAGCUCAUUUCAAAGAACUGGCUCCUCAGUCUCUUGUAUUUGGACUAAAAUGGAUUCAGCAAAACAGCAGAAGGAUAGUCUGGACAGCUGAGAAUGUGUGUGGCCUGUGGGUCACAGCAUUAUAAGGAGAUAAAAGAGAUUCAGAAAUUCAUCAGUGUGAGUUCAUCAGAAGAGAAUCAGCAUUGCAGAUGCCAUGGGCUGAGAAAGACUAAUUUCCAAAAUGAGGGGAGGAAGUUCCCCUUAUCUCUUUUCAAACUUAUUUGUUGCCUCGUGGGAUAAGUCACCAAAAUGGGAAACAUGAAAAAAUAUUCAGCAAGAGACAGAACCGAGGAAAAUCAUCCCAAGUCUCUCAGACAUCAGCUGAAAACAGAUGAGCUGGGAAUACAGGUUGAAUACCCUUUGCAGUUCUUCCUUUGGACAAGUUCACUAAGUUCAGGAAACACCUUGGGAACAAUUCAUGUCAGUGUGUGUCUGUAUUGCUUCUGUCAUUAGCAUGAAGAGCCUCAAAGUAAUCUAAGUUAAUGAUCUGAUUACUAAUAAAGAGCAGCACUGGGUACAGGUCA